AUCCAACUGACGACUCCCAAAUAGGACGAAACGCGUGUCCUGGAU
rnacentral:hammerhead_ribozyme from 1 species